rnacentral:rRNA from 1 species
UACGGAGGGUGCAAGCGUUAUCCGGAUUCACUGGGUUUAAAGGGUGCGUAGGUGGUCCGUUAAGUCAGUUGUGAAAUCCCCGGGCUCAACCCGGGAACUGCUUCUGAUACUGGCGGACUUGAGGCCAGUAGGGGUCACUAGAACUGACGGUGGAGCGGUGAAAUGCGUAGAUAUCGUCAGGAAUGCCGGUGGUGAAGACGGGUGACUGGGCUGGUUCUGACACUGAGGCACGAAAGCGUGGGGAGCGAACGGGG